CAGCCCUAAACGAUGCGCGUUAGGUGUAUCGGUGACCACGAGUCACCGAGGUGCCGAAGGGAAACCGUGAAACGUGCCGCCUGGGAAGUACGGUCGCAAGGCUGAAACUUAAAGGAAUUGGCGGGGAGCACCGCAACGGGAGGAGCGUGCGGUUCAAUUGGAUUCAACGCCGGACAACUCACCAGGAGCGACGGUUACAUGAAGGCCAGGCUGAUGACCUUGCCUGAUUUUCCGAGAGGAGGUGCAUGGCGUAGUCGUGU
rnacentral:rRNA from 1 species